rnacentral:lncRNA from 1 species
CUCUCUCUCUCUCUCUCUCUCCUGUUCGUCAGUUUGUGUAUUUACUGAGUGUUUUUCUUAGGGUUUUCUCGUUUAAUUUUCUCUCUGUAAUCUUUGAGGUGUUUUAUCUGUAAAUCGUGAGGUUUUGAUUAUGAUUGUUUUAAGAAAACUAUAUAUGAGAAAAAUUGUAUAGGUUACUAAAGCUAUGUAUUGAAAAAGGAAGGUGAGAGAAAGAAAUCCUUGAUUUCUUCAAACAUUUGUACUAUUUCUUGGUGAUUUUGAUAGUGGAUCGAGUAUAAUCUACUUAUAGAUGCUCAAUGAGUGAUUAGGCCAAAUGUUGAACAUUCGGGCUCUUAGUGAUAAAAAAUUCAAUUUUGUUCUUUGAUUUUCUACAAAAUUUGUAUUUACUACAAAUUGAUGUGGUAUUCAUGAAUAAACAUGAUUUUGAGACCAAUAAGUAUUGUUAAAGACUGAAACUUUGGUAUUUCAGGC